GCCGGGCACAGUGGCUCAUGCCUGUAAUCCCAGAGGCUCUGGAGGCUGAGGCAGGAGGAUCACCAGUUCAAAGCCAGCCUCAACAACAGCGAACCCCUAAGUAAGUCAGUGAGACCCUGUCUCUA
rnacentral:sRNA from 1 species